rnacentral:rRNA from 1 species
UACGUAGGGGGCAAGCGUUGUCCGGAAUUAUUGGGCGUAAAGAGCGCGUAGGCGGCCCGGUAAGUCGGUUGUGAAAGUCGGGGGCUCAACCCUCGGAUGCCGAUCGAUACUGUCGGGCUAGAGUACGGAAGAGGCGAGUGGAAUUCCUGGUGUAGCGGUGAAAUGCGCAGAUAUCGAGAGGAACACCUGCGGCGAAGGCGGGUUGCUGGGCUGACACUGACGCUGAGGCGCGAAAGCUAGGGGAGCGAACGGG